UACGAGGGGUGCAAGCAUUAUUCGGAAUUAUUGGGCGUAAAGGGUGCGUAGGCGGCAUAUUAAGUCAACUGUUAAAUUCCUCGGCCUAACCGAGGCCAUGCGGUAGAUACUGGUAUGCUAGAGGGUGGAAGAGAGAAGUGGAAUUCUCGGAGUAGCGGUAAAAUGCGUAGAUCUCGAGAGGAACACCAAUGGCGAAGGCAGCUUCUUGGUCCAUACCUGACGCUGAGGCACGAAAGCGUGGGGAGCAAACAGG
rnacentral:rRNA from 1 species